rnacentral:rRNA from 1 species
AACGAACGCUGGCGGCAUGCCUAACACAUGCAAGUCGAACGGGAUCCUAGCUUGCUAGGUGAGAGUGGCGGACGGGUGAGUAACACGUGGGAAUCUGCCUUUUGGUUCGGGAUAACCGCGGGAAACUGCGGCUAAUACCGAAUGCCCUCGAGAGAGGAAAGAUUUAUCGCCAGAAGAGGAGCCCGCGUCCGAUUAGGUAGUUGGUGGGGUAAAGCCUACCAAGCCGAGAUCGGUAGCUGGUCUGAGAGGAUGAUCAGCCACACUGGGACUGAGAUACGGCCCAGACUCCUACGGGAGGCAGCAGUGGGAAUAUUGGACAA